rnacentral:rRNA from 1 species
UAAUACAGAGGGUGCAAGCGUUGUUCGGAAUUAUUGGGCGUAAAGCGCGUGUAGGCGGCUUUGCAAGUCGGGUGUGAAAGCCCUCGGCUCAACCGAGGAAGUGCGCCCGAAACUGCAGAGCUUGAGUACCGGAGAGGAUGGCGGAAUUCCCCAAGUAGAGGUGAAAUUCGUAGAUAUGGGGAGGAACACCGGUGGCGAAGGCGGCCAUCUGGACGGAUACUGACGCUGAGACGCGAAAGCGUGGGUAGCAAACAGGAUUAGAUACCCUGGUAGUCCACGCCGUAAACGAUGAGAACUAGGUGUCGUGGGUGUUGACCCCCGCGGUGCCGUAGCUAACGCAUUAAGUUCUCCGCCUGGGAAGUACGGUCGCAAGACUA